AUUGAACGCUGGCGGCAUGCUUUACACAUGCAAGUCGAACGGUAACAGGCCUUCGGGUGCUGACGAGUGGCGAACGGGUGAGUAAUGCAUCGGAACGUACCCAGAGGUGGGGGAUAACGCAGCGAAAGCUGUGCUAAUACCGCAUGUGAUCUGAGGAUGAAAGCGGGGGACCGAGCAGCAAUGUUUGGCCUCGCGCCUUUGGAGCGGCCGAUGUCGGAUUAGCUAGUUGGUGGGGUAAAGGCCUACCAAGGCGACGAUCCGUAGCUGGUCUGAGAGGACGAUCGGCCACACUGGGACUGAGACACGGCCCAGACUCCUACGGGAGGCAGCAGUGGGGAAUGUUGGACAAUGGGCGCAAGCCUGAUCCAGCAAUGCCGCGUGCGGGAAGAAGGCCUUCGGGUUGUAAACCGCUUUUGGCAGGAACGAAACGGUGUCCGCUAAUACCGGGCGCUAAUGACGGUACCUGCAGAAUAAGCACCGGCUAACUACGUG
rnacentral:rRNA from 1 species